rnacentral:rRNA from 1 species
CGAUGAAGCCUUUCGGGGUGGAUUAGUGGCGAACGGGUGAGUAACACGUGGGCAAUCUGCCCUUCACUCUGGGACAAGCCCUGGAAACGGGGUCUAAUACCGGAUAACACUCUGUCCCGCAUGGGACGGGGUUAAAAGCUCCGGCGGUGAAGGAUGAGCCCGCGGCCUAUCAGCUUGUUGGUGGGGUAAUGGCCUACCAAGGCGACGACGGGUAGCCGGCCUGAGAGGGCGACCGGCCACACUGGGACUGAGACACGGCCCAGACUCCUACGGGAGGCAGCAGUGGGGAAUAUUGCACAAUGGGCGAAAGCCUGAUGCAGCGACGCCGCGUGAGGGAUGACGGCCUUCGGGUUGUAAACCUCUUUCAGCAGGGAAGAAGCGAAAGUGACGGUACCUGCAGAAGAAGCGCCGGCUAACUACGUGCCAGCAGCCGCGGUAAUACGUAGGGCGCAAGCGUUGUCCGGAAUUAUUGGGCGUAAAGAGCUCGUAGGCGGCUUGUCACGUCGGAUGUGAAAGCCCGGGGCUUAACCCCGGGUCUGCAUUCGAUACGGGCUAGCUAGAGUGUGGUAGGGGAGAUCGGAAUUCCUGGUGUAGCGGUGAAAUGCGCAGAUAUCAGGAGGAACACCGGUGGCGAAGGCGGAUCUCUGGGCCAUUACUGACGCUGAGGAGCGAAAGCGUGGGGAGCGAACAGGAUUAGAUACCCUGGUAGUCCACGCCGUAAACGUUGGGAACUAGGUGUUGGCGACAUUCCACGUCGUCGGUGCCGCAGCUAACGCAUUAGUUCCCCGCCUGGGGAGUACGGCCGCAAGGCUAAAACUCA